rnacentral:rRNA from 1 species
GACAGAGGCCACAAGCGUUAGGCGGAAUCACUGGGCUUAAAGCGUGUGUAGGCGGAUCGUUAAGUGCCUUGUGAAAUCCCCCGGCUCAACCGGGGAACGGCUGGGCAUACUGGCGGUCUUGAGCCACCUAGGGGCAGCCGGAACAAACGGUGGAGCGGUGAAAUGCGUAGAUAUCGUUUGGAACGCCCAAGGCGAAAGCAGGCUGCUGGGGGUGAGCUGACGCUGAGACACGAAAGCCAGGGGAG